GAUGAUGGGCAUGCGUUGUAUUAGCUGGUUGGUGAGGUAACGGCUCACCAAGGCGACGAUACAUAGGGGGACUGAGAGGUUAACCCCCCACAUUGGUACUGAGACACGGACCAAACUCCUACGGGAGGCAGCAGUGAGGAAUAUUGGUCAAUGGACGCAAGUCUGAACCAGCCAUGCCGCGUGCAGGAUGACGGCUCUAUGAGUUGUAAACUGCUUUUGUACGAGGGUAAACCCCGAUACGUGUAUCGGGUUGAAAGUAUCGUACGAAUAAGGAUCGGCUAACUCCGUGCCAGCAGCCGCGGUAAUACGGAGGAUCCGAGCGUUAUCCGGAUUUAUUGGGUUUAAAGGGUGCGUAGGCGGUUUGAUAAGUUAGAGGUGAAAUGUCGGGGCUCAACCCCGAAACUGCCUCUAAUACUGUUGGACUAGAGAAUAGUUGCGGUAGGCGGAAUGUAUGGUGUAGCGGUGAAAUGCUUAGAGAUCAUACAGAACACCGAUUGCGAAGGCAGCUUACCAAACUAUAUCUGACGUUGAGGCACGAAAGCGUGGGUAGCAAACAGGAUUAGAUACCCUGGUAGUCCACGCAGUAAACGAUGAUAACUCGUUGUCGGCGAUACACAGUCG
rnacentral:rRNA from 1 species